GGGCCCGCACAAGCGGUGGAGUAUGUGGUUUAAUUCGAUGCAACGCGAAGAACCUUACCAGGGUUUGACAUCCUGCGAAUCUCUUGGAAACGAGAGAGUGCCUUCGGGAGCGCAGUGACAGGUGGUGCAUGGCUGUCGUCAGCUCGUGUCGUGAGAUGUUGGGUUAAGUCCCGCAACGAGCGCAACCCACGUCUUUAGUUGCCAGCAUUUAGUUGGGCACUCUAGAGAGACCGCCGGUGAUAAACCGGAGGAAGGUGUGGAUGACGUCAAGUCAUCAUGCCCCUUACAUCCUGGGCUACACACGUACUACAAUGCUACGGACAAAGGGCAGCAAGUUCGCGAGGACAAGCAAAUCCCAUAAACCGUGGCUCAGUUCGGAUUGAGGUCUGCAACUCGACCUCAUG
rnacentral:rRNA from 1 species